rnacentral:rRNA from 1 species
GACGAACGCUGGCGGCGUGCUUAACACAUGCAAGUCGAGCGGUAAGGCCUUUCGGGGUCCACGAGCGGCGAACGGGUGAGUAACACGUGGGUGAUCUGCCCUGCACCUCGGGAUAAGCCUGGGAAACUGGGUCUAAUACCGGAUAUGACCUCCUAUCGCAUGGUGGGUGGUGGCAAGAUUUAUCGGUGCAGGAUGGGCCCGCGGCCUAUCAGCUUGUUGGUGGGGUAAUGGCCUACCAAGGCGACGACGGGUAGCCGACCUGAGAGGGUGACCGGCCACACUGGGACUGAGACACGGCCCAGACUCCUACGGGAGGCAGCAGUGGGGAAUAUUGCACAAUGGGCGAAAGCCUGAUGCAGCGACGCCGCGUGAGGGAUGACGGCCUUCGGGUUGUAAACCUCUUUCAGCAGGGACGAAGCGCAAGUGACGGUACCUGCAGAAGAAGCACCGGCUAACUACGUG